GGAGCCAGGAACACGGGAUGCACACGUCUUUGGCAGGCCUGUACAGCUCUGGCCGGAUGCAAUCCUUCAAGCUGGAAAUCCGCCGGGUAUUUGAGACACGAAGGUGGGAGGUGGAGAGGAAGGCCACAGGACUCUCAUCUCAGUCCAGGCCUGCUCUCUCUAUUCAAAUCCAUUCCAGAACUCUGAGGCGGGGGGAGAGCAAACCAAAUCAGGCCCACCCACCUUCACGGAGGCAGAUUCUUCAAUCCGUGCCGUUUGUACACACCUGCUUCCACUGGUCCCGCAGUUAAAGAGCAUCAGCUUUAUGGUAAGAGAAGGAUCGCUUCCUCUCUGACCUUCCCCAGCACCUCUCUUCAGCUGGGUCUGUGCAGGAACCACUGGAGAAGUCUGAGGCCUGUGUCCCCCAUUCAUCUGCAUGUGCCAUCUUCCUCAAGUCUUGAAUGAAGGGUUGGUUGGAGGCUACAAGUUUACUUGCUGACUCCCAGCUCCUCACACACCAAGCCCUGCCUUUCUUCUGCCAGUUGCCAGUGCCUGGGCUGGAGUACUAGGUGGCCCCAAGACAGGAGCCAAGCUGGUCUAUGUAGGCACUUGGCGAUUUGGGGUCGGGAGGUGGAUUGAAAAAAGGGGGAUGGAAAUGAGAAGAAUCAAAGAGUUCAAUCUGAUUAAGAGAUCUGAAGUGAUUUUACUUUUGUUUUCUUCACUUUAAGCCAAUCAUGAAGUUUCACAGUGAUUUCUGGGGUAGCAGAAGGAAGGUGGUGCUGAACAUCUUGGGGGCUGUGGUCCAGAUGGCCCCGGAGGUGUGGGCCUCACUGGGGCGGCAGGAGCACCGACUGCCCUCUGGGCAGGUAGGUGAUGUUCCGGGAGCACGGCAGCUCCUAUGCGAUGUCCUCCGCGGCCUCCCGCUUGCGCAGCUGGAUCACCGGCUGCGAUGGCAGUGGCGGUUGUGAGUGAGCUGGCGAUCCGCUCCGCUGCCUUGAAGUCACCCUCCACAGAGAUGAUGGCUUCCUUCUUUUGCUACCCAGCCUUUUCCUCCUCCAAUCUGGCCCUCUCUGCUUCCUGCUGAGCCACCUGUUUGGCUUCCACCUCUCUGUGAACUUCCCAAAGGUCAAGGAUAGCUCAUCCAAGAUGAGCCCAAAGGUCGCUGCCCGCUCUGUGAGGUCAUCGCUCACCCGUCUGGGGGCCAGCUCUCUCUGGGUGAUCAGUUUUCCUGCCGAGCCACCACGGACUGGAGGAUCUCUGUAGUUUUGGACUGGCAGCACACUCUCAUCGUAGUCCUCUCCAGUGCUGGGGAAGAUGCGAGGAAGCUGGCUAGACGCCAGCCAGAAGAGGAUGCCUAGGAUGAUGAUGACUUUCUGUAAAUCUUUGCUACCCGUGUUUACUGGCACAUUACGUGGUUGAGAGCGGCAGUCAAAGAUAAUUGGUUUCUGUACCCAAGGGAUGAGGAAGUG
rnacentral:lncRNA from 1 species